rnacentral:lncRNA from 1 species
CAGGUUCUUUAUAUGUUUGUGAUGAGGAUAUAGCAAAAAGAUCAUACAGCAAAAGCUUCUACAUGGUACUAACUUAAGCUUUACACUUGGAGGGUAAUUUCUACCUAAUUAUUUUCAGUGAAGAACUUUUUCAGAAUUGAACUGCAAAUUUUACAUAUACUUAGUGGGUUUGAUUUUCUCAUUUAAAAUAAAGCCGUUUUAAUAGGAGCCAUAAUUAAGCUAAGACAUUCAGAGGUUUAAGAAUAGAUGCCAGUUCAUAGAUGUUUAUUAGAUGAAUUUAUUAAUUUUGUUUUAAGCCAUGGAAUUUGAAUAAUAAAAGUUAUCAGAUGAUAUAUUUGAAGAGAUAUUCAAACAAUGAACUUUUGGUUUCAUUUGCUUUUUUUUUUUUUUGCUUUCUUUUCAAAGACAUGCUUCACAUUUAUUUAGUUGAAGCACAGUGAUUGCAGAUAGGCAGUCAACAGUAAAUGUGACAAAAUUGUAUAAGCAUAUAAAAAUUGAAAAUAAAUAAAAGGAUGACAAAUUGAGAAUACAAGGUGGCACAAUCCCAGCUCACUGCAAGCUCCACCUCCCAGUUCACGCCAUUCUGCUGCCUCAGCCUCCCGAGUAGCUAGGACUACAGGCACCCACCACCACACCCGGCUAAUUUUUUUGUUUUUGUUUUUGUUUUGUUUUGUUUUGUUUUUGAGAUGGAGUCUCGCUCUGUCGCCCAGGCUGGAGUGCAGUGGUGCAAGCUCAGCUCACUGCAAGCUCUGCCUCC